rnacentral:rRNA from 1 species
ACGCUGGCGGCGUGCUUAACACAUGCAAGUCGAACGAUGACCCGGUGCUUGCACCGGUGAUUAGUGGCGAACGGGUGAGUAACACGUGAGUAACCUGCCCUUAACUCUGGGAUAAGCCUGGGAAACUGGGUCUAAUACCGGAUAUGACUCCUCAUCGCAUGGUGGGGGGUGGAAAGCUUUUUGUGGUUUUGGAUGGACUCGCGGCCUAUCAGCUUGUUGGUGAGGUAAUGGCUCACCAAGGCGACGACGGGUAGCCGGCCUGAGAGGGUGACCGGCCACACUGGGACUGAGACACGGCCCAGACUCCUACGGGAGGCAGCAGUGGGGAAUAUUGCACAAUGGGCGAAAGCCUGAUGCAGCGACGCCGCGUGAGGGAUGACGGCCUUCGGGUUGUAAACCUCUUUCAGUAGGGAAGAAGCGAAAGUGACGGUACCUGCAGAAGAAGCGCCGGCUAACUACGUGCCAGCAGCCGCGGUAAUACGUAGGGCGCAAGCGUUAUCCGGAAUUAUUGGGCGUAAAGAGCUCGUAGGCGGUUUGUCGCGUCUGCCGUGAAAGUCCGGGGCUCAACUCCGGAUCUGCGGUGGGUACAGGCAGACUAAAGUGAUGUAG